rnacentral:rRNA from 1 species
AUUGAACGCUGGCGGCAGGCCUAACACAUGCAAGUCGAGCGGAUGAAGGGAGCUUGCUCCUGGUUUCAGCGGCGGACGGGUGAGUAAUGCCUAUGAAUCUGCCUGGUAGUGGGGGAUAACGUCCGGAAACGGGCGCUAAUACCGCAUACGUCCUGAGGGAGAAAGUGGGGGAUCUUCGGACCUCACGCUAUCAGAUGAGCCUAGGUCGGAUUAGCUAGUUGGUGGGGUAAAGGCCUACUAAGGCGACGAUCCGUAACUGGUCUGAGUGGAUGAGCAGUCACACUGGAACUGAGACACGGUCCAGACUCCUACGGGAGGCAGCAGUGGGGAAUAUUGGACAAUGGGCGAAAGCAUGAUCCAGCGAUGCCGCGUGUGUGAAGAAGGUCUUCGGAUUGUAAAGCACUUUAAGUUGGGAGGAAGGGCAGUAAGUUAAUACCUUGCUGUUUUGACGUUACCAACAGAAUAAGCACCGGCUAACUUCGUG